CAGCUGGCUCCUCUGCUGCUGAGAACGAUGAAUUGCUCUCGUCCAAUGAGACCGACUCAUUUGAGUACAUUGAAGCUGAAUUUUAAAUCAUGAGGCACAUCAUUGGCAAGUGUUGCCGUAUUCUGUCUAGUAUUUUUACAAAAUACUAAAAUUAUUCGGGCUAUCGACGGGGUAUCGACAGCAAACAACUGUCAAACAGUAAAUUCAGUUUAAUGUUUAAAUAUGAGCAAUACGGGAAAGCAAAAGAAAAAGAAGUGGACAGAGGUGGCGGAAAAUGUCUUAAUAGACUUGUGGGGGGAAAAAAUGGAAGAUUUUCGUGGGUUGCUCAAGAAAACCCACAUUUACGAGGAGAUGGGUGAGGAACUAAAGCAGCAAUUCUUCGAUUUCUCUCCACAAGAAAUAAAAACCAAACCUAGAGAAUUUUCGCCGGAAAUAUGAUUGGAGAAAUCAAAGACGGGACCAAGCGGAGGGUCACCAUCUCAGUGGGUGCAUUUCGAGAAGGUGGCCCAAGUGCUAGGGCGCUCAAAGGCAGUCAACUUCCUGUCACAAAUUGAAGAAAGCUCAAGUAAGCGUACAUAUUGUGAAGAAGUGUGAGCCAGCGGAUUAACUAAAGUUACUACUAUGUUGUUGGCACUUGUCUGUGUAAGCGCACAAACACUUAUGUUUAAUUCUAAGCAACUUUGAAACUCCCCAUUAUUAAGAUUGGUUAGCACACGCAGAGCAUCCCGAGCAUUAUUUUCGGCACCAAUAAUUGCGUUGAAUAACAUACGAUCAUAGUCUUGGGCAACUGCUUGUUUUUCAGUGCCCGUAAUAGCAUCAUGAUGCUGCAUAACACCCAUUGCCUGCCGCAAGUUUCUGAGGCCUUUUUCGUGCUUAGCGGUGGUGAGAUUAGCUAGUGUGAUAAGUUGCUUAACCGUCUGAAGGAUAUGAUUUCCAUCCCGCUCGAAACGUUUUUGGGUUGGACGUGAAGUAAAAUAUCCAGUCCAGUAGGAAUGAGUGUCACUAGAAUAUGGAAAGAAAUCCUCGGUUUUGUUUGGCCAACUUUGCAGUAACUGAUGCAAUUCGUAAAGGUAGCAAGAUGGAGUUGAGUAAAAAAUAUUGAUUUUUGAACCCUCCGAUUGACGAUUGUUAACGUACCUGGUGGAAAUGUAAAUGAACAAAAUUUGAAAAUAAAAUAAAAAUGGAUAUCAUACUUUUUCCUCUCGGAACGACUUCGACAUUGACGUUACAUAGGCAAUAAAAUCAUCGACUCGUUUGUUUACGUUAUUGUCGUAGCUCAUACCGUCAAUUAUUGGAUCAUCCUGGCAAUGGAUGUCAAAGCAGAACCCGGGAGGAGAUCCAUAAUGACGAUAAAGCAAACCAGUGAAAAUUUCGGAGUUUUUCAAAAAUACGCUAGAUUUCCAAAUCAUUUCCAUUGUCAUGGUACUUAGGCGUUUAUUCUUUUCAGCAUAAUCCAUCCGAGCGAAAAACUCCCCGUUGUAACCCAUUUGUGCAAAAAUGGAAGCCAUUUCUCGAGAAUGCCCAAAGGGGUCUAUCUGCCAACCGAUUCGAGGACGAGCGCAAGCCCCGAACGUGUUUUUCAAAAAUCUGAAAAUAUUUAUAUUUAAAAAAUUAUAUAAUUCAAUAAUCUACCGAUCAUCUAAAAUAAAAUCUCU